rnacentral:rRNA from 1 species
UACAGAGGGGGCAAGCGUUGUUCGGAAUUACUGGGCGUAAAGGGCGCGUAGGCGGCCUGUUAAGUCGGACGUGAAAUCCCCGGGCUCAACCCGGGAACUGCGUCCGAUACUGGCAGGCUUGAAUCCGGGAGAGGGAUGCGGAAUUCCAGGUGUAGCGGUGAAAUGCGUAGAUAUCUGGAGGAACACCGGUGGCGAAGGCGGCAUCCUGGACCGGUAUUGACGCUGAGGCGCGAAAGCCAGGGGAGCAAACGGG